UUGCUUCCAUAGCGUUACCCCUUUGGCAUCCGAAUCCGGGUUACCAUUGUUUCUUCACGAAAAUGGCCCCGCAUCAACUUCAUUUCAGUUUCUUUUGGCCAACAGAUUACAGUCAUGACAAAGAGAGAGGAUCAAUCGUUGAGAAAACAAUAUGUACUGGAGAGUGUAAGCACCAUAAUCUCCUAAGAAGUGUGAGAACCAUGUAGGCAGUUUGACAGGGUUUUCCCAUUGGAUGAUAUGAAACCGUUAUUGGAAGACAUAUACCUUUAAAGUAAUGAGAAAACGUGAUUAAAUGCGCAGAUGUAUUAGGCAGGAGUGCAAAUCGUUUCCUGUAAACAAAGUUAAUGACAUGUAAAUUAAUUAAAGCAGUUAAAGAGCAAUGAGGUUAAUUAGUAUUAUUGAAAAAUGGUUUCACACAAUGUAUCAGUUAUAAUUUAUUAAUCGUUAUGAAGUUUUAUGUCUUUUUUAUUAUUCGUUUCUUUUAUUUAUUAAUCUUUCUUUUUUCUUUUUUAUCCUAGUUAGACCAUGUUUAUUUAUGAUUUUUAUUUAUUAUCUUAUCGUAGGUCAGUGUUGUGAUGUUAUUGAAUACAUGUAGUAGGUUUGUAAGUUUGAUUGGAGUAGAGCAUUUUAUUUAUAUCUGAGAAUACUGGCAGUAAUUUACAAUUUUCAUUUUUUAUUAUUGUCGCAAGAAAUAUUCAACUAUAUCAAUACGUAUGUAUAAUACAUACAUGGGUAAUUGUCUACAAGUACACCUUGUAUUUCAACAAAUUCUUGUUGACUAUUAUUUUUACGACUUAAAAUGGUAUAACCACAUGGUAUCUGUUUUGAAAUUUUAUUUUACAAAAUUUAAUUGGCCGCUGUAAUUGCUUUCUUUUAAUCUAGCUAAAGAAUAAAAAAUGUCUCGUUAGACCCUUUUACAUAUAAAAGAACUAUUAAAUUACAAAAAAAAAGCAAAAAACGCUUUCAAUUUUAAUCAUUUAGGGUUAGGUAAUCUAACAUAUAUCCGCGACAGACAAAAUACUUCUUGUACACGACCUGAUGUUUAAAAAUUUUGUCGGUGAGGUAAAAUAUUGUUAACUACCAACCAGACAUGUGCUUAUUAUGUGAAAUAAACGAAAAGUGUUUAUGGCUGACAACAACACGUGUUCGCUUCAAAAGGUUUAGCUUUUUAAUGUCGCCCAAGAAAAUAAAUAUACGCUAAUCUUAACACUUCUUGUACAAUCCUGUUUAUUUACGUUUGAUGUUGUGUUUUUUAUUAUCUC